GGGUCCUACGGGGCGCAGCAGUGGGGAAUAUUGCACAAUGGGGGAAACCGUGAUCGAGCGACGCCGCGUGAGUGAAGAAGUAUCUCGGUACGUAAAGCUCUACCAGCAGGGAAGAAAAAAAGUCUUUGGCUUUGGACGGUACCUGACUAAGAAGCCCCGGCUAACUACGUGCCAGCAGCCGCGGUAAUACGUAGGGGGCAAGCGUUAUCCGGCUUUACUGGGUGAAAAGGGAGCGUAGACGGCAGCGCAAGUCUGGAGUGAAAUGCCGGGG
rnacentral:rRNA from 1 species